rnacentral:misc_RNA from 1 species
GAUGAAGAACGUAGCGAAAUGCGAUACGUAGUGUGAAUUGCAGAAUUCCGUGAAUCAUCGAAUCUUUGAACGCACAUUGCGCCCGCCAGUAUUCUGGCGGGCAUGCCUGUUCGAGCGUCAUUUCAACCAUCAAGCCCCCGGCUUGUGUUGGGGACCUGCGGCUGCCGCAGGCCCUGAAAACCAGUGGCGGGCUCGCUGUCACACCGAGCGUAGUAGAUUUUCAUCUCGCUCAGGGCGUGCUGCGGGUUCCGGCCGUAAAAAGCCUUAUUUACCCAAGGUUGACCUCGGAUCAGGUAGGAAGACCCGCUGAACUUAAGCAUAUCAAUAAGCGGAGGA